rnacentral:rRNA from 1 species
AUGAUCGAAUGUCGAUGCAAAAUUUGCUUGAAAAAUCUAACUCCAGUCGUGAUGUCUACGAAUGUAUGGGAGAAACAUGCUGGUUGCCGCCAAAAGAAUUGGAAGAAGAGUAUUAAGCUCAAGGGCACUGAGAAGCCUCUCUUUAAAUUUCUUGAAGAGAUUCCUGAAGAAGCUGGCAUAUCUUCUAUUGCAAGUGAAAUUCAACAGGUUUCUUCUGUUGAUACAUCUGACCAGCCAGCUGCUGAAACAUCUGACCAGCCAGCUGCUGAAACAUCCUACCAGCAAGCUGCUGAAACAUCUGAGCUAGCUGCUGUUACAUCUGAUCAGCCGUCUGCAAGCCUCUCUUAUGCGAUGUCGGGAAACAAGCAGUCGCAAAAAUCAAAAGUCUGCAUCUUACAUGAUUAUGAUAGGAUGAAGUCCCAUCAGGAUAAGGACACUGAUCAUGAAUAUGAAAAGGCAUCUAGGAUUUCUGAAAUAAUGAAUACAUUGAAUCAAGAUGGUGUUCUUGACAGAACUGAGAGGGAACCGUUUGAUAGUGCUGAUCGUGAGAUAAUUCUGGCUGUCCAUGAUCCUGAGCAGUUGGAUUAUGUUGAUGGUUUGCCAAUGACAGAUGAGGAGCAGGAAGCAAAAUUUUCUAAAGUUGCCGGAGUUAGUGUAUUCUCUUCUAAAGGAACUACCGAAGCUAUUUACGGUGCAGCUGGGGCCGUUAUAAGGGGUUCCGACCUUGUGGUUGAAGAGUAUUAUGAGACUGCUUUUGCAAUAAUCAGACCUCCAGGGCAUCAUGCUCAUAAGAUUUCUGAAGGUUUCUGCUUUUUGAACAACGUUGCUAUAGCUACUCAACAUGUUGUUGACCACCAUCACAUCGAAAGAGCUUUGCUGGUUGAUUUCGACGUGCAUCAUGGCAAUGGAACGCAGAAACUCUUUUAUGGAAGCAAACAAGUUCUUUUCUUUAACACACAUAGGAUGGAUCUCCCCUAUCCUGCAUCAAAAAAUAGCGUAAACAAUAUUGGUGAGGGGGUGGGCUUGGGUUAUAACAUAAACGUUCCUCUCAAGAAAGGUUUUAAUGAUGUCGACAUGCUUUAUGUAUGCGAUCAACUUCUCGUCCCUGUGGCCACUGAGUUUAAGCCAGAAGUAGUGUUCGUUUCUGCUGGUUAUGAUGCUGGGGAAGGUGAAACAAUAGGAGGUUGCAACGUUUCUGCAAAGGGUUUUGGCACGAUUGUCCGUAAGUUAUUGCCUCUCUCAGGAGGAAAAAUGGUAUUAGCUCUUGAAGGCGGGUACAAUCUAGUUCAUCUUCCUAUAUGUGUUUCGCACACGAUUCGAGCAAUUUUGGGAGAUGAAGAUGCGUUCCUCCAGGAUUCUGAUUACAGAGAUAAACGCCCAUUCAAAAGCACCAUCCGUACAGUCAAUACUGUCAAGCAUAACUUGAGAUUAUGUUGGGAUGUUUUCAAGGAAAAACCUUCAGGUUAUUCUCAAUAA